rnacentral:rRNA from 1 species
AGGACGAACGCUGGCGGCGUGCUUAACACAUGCAAGUCGAGCGGUGAUCCUCCUUCGGGAGGUGAUCAGCGGCGAACGGGUGAGUAACACGUGGGCAACCUGCCCCUCACACUGGGAUAACCUCGGGAAACCGGGGCUAAUACCGGAUACGACCUCGAGCGGCAUCUCUUGAGGUGGAAAGCUCCGACGGUGAGGAAUGGGCCCGCGGCCUAUCAGCUUGUUGGUGGGGUAAUGGCCUACCAAGGCGACGACGGGUA